rnacentral:lncRNA from 1 species
AGGGAAGAAGAUGUGCCGCUUGGAAUCUGUUCCGUCCAUCCUCUACAGGUCAGUUUCUCUACCCCUUCUGUACAUCCCCUAUUUUUGAUGGAUUCACUUACUUGAUCUGAUCUCUAUUUUGGGGGAAGAGGAGAUCAGAGGAUGAGCACCAGAUGAUCCGACUACAGAAACUGAGAGAAAUCAGAGACUUGACAGCCGUGAUUUAUUGCUUCUUAUAUCACGCAGGCAUUAGGGCUCUCCCAAUCUCAUCCUAGAGGAAUAGGACACCUUGCAUGACCGUGAGCACCGCUGCUCAUCGCAGCUUGUCAGAUUAGGCUGGUUCAAGCAGUGUCUUAGGCAUGCUACUAUCCAAGGCGGUCUUCGCGCUUCCACCCUACAUCCACGCUAUCCACCAUGUCUCUCCCUAGAUGUGUGGGGAGGAGCAAGCAGGAGGGAAGGAGGAGCACGCAUGACUCCUCUGUCCUGUAUGUAUUUUCAUUUAUGAUAUAUCCAAAACAAAUUACUAUAGAUUAGUUCCCACAGCUAUUUAUUAGAUUGGUGCUUAUAUGAAAAAGAUUGAAACACCUCGUUUUAACUUGAUUGGUUCUCAAAGCCUUUCAUAUAGAUUGAAACAAUGUGUCAGAUGGAAGGAUAAUCUAAUGUUGUGCUAUCAUGUUUCGAAUUGUA